rnacentral:rRNA from 1 species
CUACGGGUGGCAGCAGUGGGGAAUAUUGCACAAUGGGCGCAAGCCUGAUGCAGCCAUGCCGCGUGUGUGAAGAAGGCCUUCGGGUUGUAAAGCACUUUCAGCGGGGAGGAAGGCGUUAAGGUUAAUAACCUUGUCGAUUGACGUUACCCGCAGAAGAAGCACCGGCUAACUCCGUGCCAACAGCCGCGGUAAUACGGAGGGUGCAAGCGUUAAUCGGAAUUACUGGGCGUAAAGCGCACGCAGGCGGUCUGUCAAGUCGGAUGUGAGAUCCCCGGGCUCAACCUGGGAACUGCAUUCGAAACUGGCAGGCUAGAGUCUUGUAGAGGGGGGUAGAAUUCCAGGUGUAGCGGUGAAAUGCGUAGAGAUCUGGAGGAAUACCGGUGGCGAAGGCGGCCCCCUGGACAAAGACUGACGCUCAGGUGCGAAAGCGUGGGGAGCAAACAGGAUUAGAUACCCGGGUAGUC